rnacentral:rRNA from 1 species
UUGAACGCUGGCGGCAUGCCUUACACAUGCAAGUCGAACGGCAGCACGGGUGCUUGCACCUGGUGGCGAGUGGCGAACGGGUGAGUAAUACAUCGGAACAUGUCCUGUAGUGGGGAUAGCCCGGCGAAAGCCGGAUUAAUACCGCAUACGAUCCACGGAUGAAAGCGGGGGACCUUCGGGCCUCGCGCUAUAGGGUUGGCCGAUGGCUGAUUAGCUAGUUGGUGGGGUAAGGGCCUACCAAGGCGACGAUCAGUAGCUGGUCUGAGAGGACGACCAGCCACACUGGGACUGAGACACGGCCCAGACUCCUACGGGAGGCAGCAGUGGGGAAUUUUGGACAAUGGGCGAAAGCCUGAUCCAGCAAUGCCGCGUGUGUGAAGAAGGCCUUCGGGUUGUAAAGCACUUUUGUCCGGAAAGAAAUCCUUGACUCUAAUACAGUCGGGGGAUGACGGUACCGGAAGAAUAAGCACCGGCUAACUACGUG